UACGUAGGGUGCAAGCGUUAAUCGGAAUUACUGGGCGUAAAGCGUGCGCAGGCGGUUCGCUAAGACAGAUGUGAAAUCCCCCGGGCUUAACCUGGGAACUGCAUUUGUGACUGGCGGGCUAGAGUAUGGCAGAGGGGGGGUAGAAUUCCACGUGUAGCAGUGAAAUGCGUAGAGAUGUGGAGGAAUACCGAUGGCGAAGGCAGCCCCCUGGGCCAAUACUGACGCUCAUGCACGAAAGCGUGGGGAGCAAACAGG
rnacentral:rRNA from 1 species